AAUAUUGCGACGGGGAGCUGGCUGAAGCCGGCUGAGAGGAGACUGAGUGGUCUCGACCCAGAACCUGAUUUGGAUAAUGCCAACGUAGGGAGAGAUACCGGAAAAUGA
rnacentral:ncRNA from 2 species